GACGAACGCUGGCGGCGUGCUUAACACAUGCAAGUCGAACGGAAAGGCCCUGCUUUUGUGGGGUGCUCGAGUGGCGAACGGGUGGGUAACACGUGAGUAACCUGCCCUUGACUUUGGGAUAACUUCAGGAAACUGGGGCUAAUACCGGAUAGGAGCUCCUGCUGCAUGGUGGGGGUUGGAAAGUUUCGGCGGUUGGGGAUGGACUCGCGGCUUAUCAGCUUGUUGGUGGGGUAGUGGCUUACCAAGGCUUUGACGGGUAGCCGGCCUGAGAGGGUGACCGGCCACAUUGGGACUGAGAUACGGCCCAGACUCCUACGGGAGGCAGCAGUGGGAAUAUUGCACAAUGGGCGGAAGCCUGAUGCAGCAACGCCGCGUGCGGGAUGACGGCCUUCGGGUUGUAAACCGCUUUCGCCUGUGACGAAGCGUGAGUGACGGUAAUGGGUAAAGAAGCACCGGCUAACUACGUG
rnacentral:rRNA from 1 species